GGAUAUCUGGAAGGUUAGAGAAUUGGCAAGAGAAAUGGGAUCAGAAAAUUGGCAGAAACCAAGGAGAGCUGGGUGGCUGGGACCAGAGCUAAGGAUUUUGCCACAAACAGCCUGCUGCCAUUGCUGAACACGAAUGAAGAAACUGAGGCUCAAAGCAGGCCAAUGACUUGCCCAAUGUCAUGCAGAGAGCUGUGGUCAAGACACAUGUUGAACCCAAACUUCCUGAGUUGUAAAGUGCUCCUGGGCCUAUGAGAAGGGACAGAGUGAGGUGUGGCAGCCAGGAGGGCAUCUUGGUGGAGGUGGGGGAAGGGAGAUGGAUAAUUAUUAAAAGAUGGCCAAAGCUGGGUGAAAGAUGAAAAUAAAACAAGUGAUACUAUGAAAAUAAUAAUACGGAAACGCAGAGCCUCAGACCUGGCUCUAGAUGGAUUAAAUCAGAAUCUGCCUUUUAACAACACCCCCAGGAUACUUGGACACAGAUGAACUCCUUAAAAAGAGAACUUAUCAAAACAAAAAUAUCAACUUAACACGGGCAGGACCAACUGACACUGGAAUGACAUCCUUAAUAAUGUCAGGAAUUUCCUCAUCCUAGAAGUGAUCAAACAGAGGCUUUUCACAGAUGACGAGCAGAGAAAUCAUUUAUUGAUUCAUUCUUCACACGUUGAGUGAGCACCUACUAAGUGUUAGGCAUUGUUCUGGUCAUGAAGAAAACAGAGAGUUCACAGAGCUGCCAGCGUGCCGGAGGAGACACAUAUAUCAUCGCAAAUGUUAAAAAGCACCACGAGGGAGCAAACACGGUGCAGGGUUGGAGAACAACAGAAAGGAACCCGUUUAGAUGUGUCAGGAAGGGCAUUGUGCGAAGGUGGCAUUUAAGUGGAGAAGUGGCUGUCUUGGUGUGUUGGGCUGCUGUGUAACAAAAUCCCAUAAACUGUGUGGCUUAGAGACAGCAAACGUUCAUUUCUCCGAGGUCUGGAGGCGGGGAUGUCCGGUGAGGGCCUGCUUCUCAUACAUGGCACCUUCUCUGCAGGUCCUGACCAGGUGGAAGAGGCCAACAGGUUCCCUUGGGCCUCUUUGAUCCGAGCACUAAUCUCACCUCCCAAAGACCCUGCCUCUUAGUACCACCACCUUGGGGAUUAAGGUUCCUCAUAGGAAUCUCGGGGGGACACACACACUCCGGCCACAGGCUAGGGAAGGGAUGAACAGGAGCUGCUGGUGGGAGGAAGGGCUUGAAGAGGGGUUUAAGCUGGAGGAAGAGCAUGAGCAAAGGCCCUGGGGCCAGAAGGAGCUCCGCGUGUCAGAGAGGCUGCAGGCGAGCUGGUGGGCAGCGCAGCGGUGGAGAGUGGAAGGGGGUGAUCAUGGGAUGGCAGGUCCUGUCACUCAGCCCCCUGUAGGGCAAAGGAAGGCAGCUGGACUUGACACGCAGGGAGUUCUAAUGUGAGGUUUCCACUUCAGUGCAGUCUCAGAAGUUUCCAUCUAUAUUAGACAAGACUCUGUGGGGUGCAAGUGGUUAGAAACCCAUCGCAAAAUAACCUCAGCAAAAAAUGGGCAUCGAUGGAAAGAACCUUGAGGCAGCUCAUAGCAUUUGCCUUUUUCUUUCGAAUGAUCUGAUUUGGAACAGGUAACCGCGUCUAUAUGGUCUGGCCUCCUCCGCAGAGUGGCUUUUCCCCUGUCUCCCCUGCUCUGUGCCCCUGGCGUCUCCAGUCGCCCUGCCUGGUGGUCGGGCCUGGCUAGCGGAGGGCUCAAGGGCAGGAUUGGGGGGCCGGGUAUUUAUUGCCUCCCCACUGGGACCAGCCCCAGCCCCCACCCCGGAUCUAGGGAGUCCCUUGGGUCCCUUCUUGAUCACCUAAUUGGAGAAUACCAGCUGUCUCCUACAGGACCUGAGCAAUUCACCCAGGUGUGAGAAGUGAACUAGCACGAGAGUGAACCCUUGGUCCGCCCUGUUCUUCAACCCCCCAGAAACAACCGGCGCCCCAGCUUUUUUGUGUCUACCUAUCCAGAAAUGCUAUUGCAGGUUUUUGUCUUUUUCCUUUUGUUGAUUACCAAUAACUGGUGAGUCCAGAGUCUCCAGGCCAGACAUGUGAAUGGUCCCCCCAGAGACCGGGUUCAGCUUGAUUUUCCUCUCGUCCCUGGGCAUCCUCGCAAGAGCACUGUUCUCAGUGGGCGGAGUCCAGAAGCCAUGGCAUUCUGGGAGGGACGAUGUCCCGCAUGGAGGCAUUGAAUCAUUGACACUUGGGCAUCAGUAGGACAUCUGCCAACCCCACGAUGCGGUUUUGGCGAGAGCAAGGCAUCAGCACUCCCCGGUCCCGGGGAUUCAGAUGUGUGUCGGCCAAUUUGGGAAAAUCCUUAAGGCUGGGAAUGCCGGCUGCAGGCCACCUUGGGCAGGAGGGCCGCACUUGACCUUCAGCUGGUUUUGGCCCUGCUUAGCCGGGUGGUCUACCUUUUCCCAAAGAAACCAACGUGCAAUUUUUCUGAUUCUUGAAAGACUUCAUAGUCUCGCUUCCAUGAGGCUAUUUCCUCCUGGGGGCUUCCAGCUAGGCUUGCUGAGUUCAAAUCCCGACUUCGCCACUUCCUAGCUGGGAGACCUUGGGCACUAUGUUUAACUUCUCUGUGCCUCAGUUUCUUCCUCUGUGAAAUGGGGAUAAUACUAACAAUAAAACCUACUUCAUAGGGUUGCCGUGGGAAUUUUAAAUGAGCAAAUAAACAUAAAGCACUUGACAUAGGGUUUGGCAUGGAGCAAGUUGCUCCAAAAUGUUAGCUAUUUUUGUUAGGAUGAAAAUUAACAUUUAAUCAAAUGCUUGCUGUGCAUACACGCCUGCUUGCUAUAUAUACACAACUGCAUUUUAUCUUGUGGAAUUCUCACAACAACCCUGUGAGUUAGGCCCACAUAUCCUUAUUUUACAGAUGAGGAAACUGAGGCUCAAAGCGGAUAUGGGACUUGUUCAGAAUCGCACCGCUAGUACACAGCGGAGUUUGCUCUGCAGCAGUGCCCCGAACUAGCCCUGGGACGGAAGUGCGAAGCCCCAGCUAGCUUAUUUAUUUGUGCACUUUGGUUUGCAUCUUUGUAUGGUCUCUCUGGGCUUUUGCAACCAGGCUGUUUUCACUUGUAAACAUCUUGAGGGUAGGACCCACGUCUGAGACACCCAAGAGGCUGAGCUUCUGCAACUCGCUUUAUACUGAGAAAAUUGCUCGAGCUGUUUGUUCAAAGAAGAGAUUCUCUAACACGUUGGCUGCGGGGUCUGACUCAGAAACAGUGAGGGGGGCCUUGGAAUCUGAAAAUUUUUUUUAAACCCCACGACGCUGGGCAUUCUUAGGCUAAGGCUGGUUUGGAAACUUUUGCCGCAUAGAACUGGAGCGCCCUCUGCUGUCGAAGAAGAAGACGGCAAUGAAGCAGACAGAGGCACUCCCAGGAUGGGGCCGGUCCUUUAGAUGGACCACAGCCAGGUGGGGACCCAGGGACAAACGCCUUCAGCAGGGAACAGAACUGUGGGGAGCUUGGCUCUUCUUGGCUGGGUACGGGGCUGGGUGAUGGAGGAGGAGGUACCACCCAAACAAAAAUAACUGGCUCUCUGAACAAAACAACACAAAGAAACAAACACAGGCGUACCAAGCAUGAUUUGUGGCAUGUGUCUAUUUGCAUGGUGUGGAUGCUCUUGCCAGGGCCGAUUUGACAUCUCCGAACACAGAGUGGGAAGCGAUGCUCACGCUGGCUCUCGUGGGAGCGAGGAGGGGUCGGCUCCAACAUAGUACUGGUUGACCAAAAGGACAGGGAGCAGGGGCAGGGGGAGUGGGUGGUGAGGAGUCCCGCUGGGCCAGAGAGGAGAACACAGAGGUCAGGCUGGUUGGAGUGGGGUCGAGCUCUUGAUGGCCUUGAAUGCCAGAAUUGGGGCUUAAGGGUCAAAAGGAAAGGGUGACUCUCGCAUGCAAGAGAAGAGAAUUCAGCCUGGCCAAGGGGAGUGGGUCGUCGUGGUAAUGAUCUUUCAGCAGGGGGAGGUGUUUGCAUUGCGGUGGGCACCAAGUUUUACGGACAGUAUAUCAUUAAUUCUCCUAGCAACUCAAAGAGGCAGAUAGUAUUUUCAUCCCCUCUUUAGAGAAGGGGAAACUGAGGCACAGAGAAGUUAAGCAAGCUGCCCAAGGACACACAGCUGGUAAGUGGCAGAGCUAGGCUCAAACCCAGGCAGCCUUAACCCCCGUGUCCUGUUCCGUAGAAAACUUAGUCUCUUCACCUACAUAAUCAGCACGAAGGCGACAAGGCCAAUGAGCAUGGGGUUGGACUUAUACUUAUCCAGAACAACAACAACAAUAAAAGUAAUAGUAACAAAUAUUUCGUUGAGGGCUUCCUUUCUGGCGUCAGGGAGAUCCGGGUUCCAACCCUAGCUCUGCCGUGCAUUAAACCGACUGGGUUACAUAAACUCUUUGAGCCUUGAUCUUCUCAUCUGCAAACUGGGGGUAAAAGUACCUAAAUCAUGAGGCCGUUGGAUGGUAAAUGAGAAAAUGGAUGAAAAUUGUGCCUGUCAGCGACCGUCUAAAGGUUAAAGGGCCUGGCGGGGAGAGGGAGAACAGUCCCGGGUUUGGAUGCAGGGAGGGACAACAGCUAGCCACGGAUCAGCUGGAGGGCACCCCUCCUGCGCUGGCUCCCAAGGCCAAGGGCAAGCCUGUGCCUUUCCGGAAUUUCAGCCUUGCAAGUAGGACAGAAUCGCGAGCAAGCCCACAGCGGCCACGUGCCGAAUUCCCACGGCGCCCCAGGAGGCGGUCGCCGGUUAGGGCCACCGUUUCCCAGCCUGCGCGCGCAGCUGCCCCAGGACGCGGCACAGCAUUUUAGAGAAUUUUCCGAGGCAGCGCAGCGACAUCUGCCGGACGGCUUGCGAACUGCAACCUCAAGGCGCUCACCUUUUGACCGUCCCAGGGAGCCACGUUUCUUUUCCACGAUGUCCCAGCUUUUGGACUCUUAAGAAUGCAAACUGCCUCUCCCGACCUUGAGUUAAUUCAGUUUUGUCCCCUGAGCGUGUUGAAGGGCAGGCUGGGGGCUGGAAUGGCCGUUUCUGCUUGUGUGCCUCGCUGCCUAGACUCCCCGGAGGCUCCCCCCCCUCGCCGUUCCCUCCCCAGCGCAGACACCUUCAGCCCCAGCCACACCGCAGACACCUGGCUGCCUGAGGACUGGCAGUUCCUGAGUUCCAAAGGAGUGGUGGCAGGGGUUCAGGCCCCACCUUCCCUGCUCCCUCGGGCUCCCAGGUGAAAAGCCUGGUGGGGCGGCUACAGGCGGCGGGGCAGUGAGCAAGAGAACCUUGAAACCAGGAAGGAACAGCAAGGAACAGCAAGGAACAGCACGCGGCACCUUCCCCGCCUCUCAGCCCCGACCUGAGAAUGCUGCCUCACCUCAAAGCACCGUGCACUGCGGUUUAUGAAACAAGCGCUGGAGGAAAGGGGGUCCCGCUAUCUUUUCGGGGUGCAGCCAGCUCAUCAGGCACCGUCAGACUGCCUGGCUCAGGGGGACUUAAAUCCCAGCUCCGAGGAGCUCUGAGCAGAAUGGAAGUAAUACCAGUUUCUAUCUGACUCAGAGAGUUGUUCUGAGAAUGAAGCACAUUACUAAAGCCUAGUUCAGAGAGCCGGCCGCUGUGGCCUGUAGUCCCAGCUACUCGGGAGGCCGAGGCAGGAGGAUCGCUUGAGCCCAGGAGUGUGAGACCAGCCUGGGCAAUGUAGCGAGACCCCAUCUCGGGGUGAAAAAGCAGUUUUGUGCAAAGCUCAUUACACAUGGCUAGUUGCAAUGAAAUUGAGCUAUUCAUUUAAGAAAUAUUUAUUGAGCAUGUACUAUGUAAUCUAUGGAUCAAUGUACUAGACACUAGGAAUACAGCAGGGAAUGAGAAAAGAUCCCUGCCCGGAGGGGCAGGGGCACAGGCUUACAUUCUAGCAGAGAAUGACAGCAAUGAUCAUAAUCCAUACAUAAGUGAAUUAUAGGGCAGUAUUGUCCAAUAGAAAUAUGACACGAGCCAUGCAUGUAAUUUAAAAUUUUUAAGUAUCAUCAAAAAAGUGAA